GGGUGAGAGAGACCAUCCAUCGGUCUGUCUGUGUAGUAAGUAGUAUGUUGACUAGUCCAAGCAAGCCAAGGAAGAGAAGAGAUCAGAUCAGAUCUCAUCUCAGUCUCCUCUGCUCAGGUCGCCGGCGAUGGCGAUGGCGCCGUCCCUCCGCACCACCGUCCUGCUCCUCCUCUUCCUCCUCGCCGCCUCUUCUCAGGCGGAGGCGGCACAAGCGGCGGAGGACGGCAUCCGGGUCCUCUCCGCCGAGAAAAGGAUCGACCUCACCGGCCCCAUCGUCAAGGUCUUCCUCACCCUCAAGGUCCAGAACGCCGCCACCGGCGCCGACGCCUCACACGUCCUCAUCGCCUUCACGCCUGCCGAGGCCGACCACCUCGCCAUCGUCAAGGCCACCCGGGCCGAGGGCAAGCGCAAGAAGAAGGCCUACAUCCCGCUCCCAGUAACACCCGCCGACGCCGCCACCGCCGCUCCCAACGGCGCCCGCCUCUACUCCAUCUCCCUUCCCAGCCCACUAAAACCCGCCGAGACCACCACGGUGGAGGUCUUCUACGUGCUCACCCACUCCCUCGAGCCCUUCCCUGCCGAGAUCACCCAGUCCGAGUCCCAGCUCGUGUACUACCGCGACAGCGCCGUCAUCCUCUCGCCGUACCAUGUCCAGGAGCAGGGCACCUACGUCAAGACGCCCAGCAGCAGGGUCGAGUCCUUCACCAGGGCCGACCCCACCAGCCGCUCGGGCCCUGAUGUCAAAUACGGCGCGUACAGCAACCAGCUCCCAUACGCCUACUCGCCCAUCAUUCUGCAUUAUGAGAACAACCAUGCGUUUGCUGUCGUCGAGGAGCUCGUGCGCAAGGUGGAGAUCUCCCACUGGGGGAACGUCCAGGUCACCGAGCACUACAAGUUGAAGCAUGGCGGUGCCAAGCACAAAGGAGUCUUUUCAAGGCUCGAGUAUCAGGCUAGGCAAUCUAUCAGCGGAGCGUCAUCAUUUAAGAAUCUUCUUGCAAGGUUGCCUCCACGAGUUCAUUCAGUCUACUAUCGUGAUGAGAUUGGUAACAUCUCCUCAUCCCAUCUGCGCAGUGAUUCAUACAAGUCAGAACUAGAAAUUGAACCAAGAUAUCCGCUUUUUGGUGGGUGGCACUGCACUUUCACCAUCGGCUAUGGUAUGCCACUGCAAGAUUUCCUGUUUGAAUCGGCUGAUGGCCGACGCUUUGCCAAUCUUACAUUUGGAUGCCCUCUACUGAAUACUGUGGUUGAUAAUCUUACCAUCAAGGUUGUGCUUCCCGAGGGAUCGAAAAGCCCGCAGGCUGUUGUUCCUUUCGAGACCGAGCAACAUCUUGAGACUAGCUAUUCAUACCUGGAUGUUGUGGGGAGGACGACAGUGGUGAUAAAGAAGAAAAACGUAGUAGGAGAGCACAAUGUUCCAUUCCAGGUGUACUACGAGUUCAGCCCGAUCUUCAUGCUGGCGGAGCCGCUGAUGCUGGUAACCGCAGUGCUGCUCUUGUUCGCGGCGUGCAUUGUGUAUCUUCACACGGAUCUUUCCAUCGCGAAAUCGCAGGCCUCCUGAAGGAGGAGUAGCUGCAAACUAGUCGUUGUGAUGAAGUAAUUGAUGGUGGUGAAACAUUAGCUUUGGGGAGUUUUGUAGAAGAAGCAAGCAUGACGAUAAUUGAUUGCUGUAGGAACUUUGACUCUUUUAUUUUCCUGUGGAAGAAAAAGAAAAAUCACAAUUGGAUUGGAUGUUGAGCAACAACUUGGUUAGUCUGAUCAAGAUACGUUUACCUUGAUUCAACUUUCCGUCAAUUAGUUGAGAUCUUUUCCACCCUUUAGUCGUAACUAUGAGUACAAAAUAUAAAAAAUGUUGAGAGUAGUCGGCCAUCCCAACUUUGUGCUUCUAACAUAUUUUCCCUGAAUUUGCAGAUGCUGAGUUCAUUCGUGAUGCAGGCCCAAAAGAAAUUAAAACAAUUUCAGAAUUUCAGAAAUUAAAAAUAUAGAUGAAAAAUGCUAGAACAACCAACCAAUGCAAAACACUAAACACAAGCGAUGCUCCAAUCUUCGAACGUCCCCAAUCUCUCUCUCGCAAACCAAACCCUAGCCUGGCCUAGCAACAAUGGCGCCGUGAAUCCAAUCCAAUCCAAUCGGAGCCGAAUCGAAUCGUGCCGGACGGACGGAGGGAGGAAGAAGAGAGAGGGGAGAGAUGGUGGGGCGCAACGAGGAGAAGGCGCGGCUGGCGCUGGCCGCCAUGAACAAGCUGGGGUUCGGCCGGAAGCAGGCCACUCCCGUGCUCAAGCGCCUCUUCAGGCUCUUCGACCGGCAGUGGGAGCCCAUCGAGGCCGACUCCUACCGCGCCCUCGCCGAAGCAAUCCUCGACGACCAACUCCAAUCCCAAUCCCAAUCCCAAUCCCAACCACAGCACCAGCCCAACGGCGGCGGCGGCGGCGGCAAUGAGGCGCCGGGGCAGGAGGAGGAGCUGGAUGCCAUGCCAGAAAUCUCCACCCCUUCCACAACCCCCUCUUUCAGAGCCACACCACCGCAAAGCUCCAGCUCCAGGACCCAUUUCAGAGCCCCUGCCUCUGCCUCUGCUCCUCCACCCGGAUCCACAGCCAGAGGCAUAGUGGAAAGGGUUGUCUUGGCCCCAGCCCCAGGCGCACCCUCACCAACCGCACUGCUCACCAAGCACAAGCAGAUGAUGGAUGCAGAGUUUCAGCAGCCUGCCUUCUUCCCCAAACACCCCAACCCCCAACCCCCUCAACCUCAACCUGUCGACAUGGACGCGUCCGGCUGUCCGGAUGUGCAGCCUGGCUUGAUUCUCCGCUCCCGCAACCGCAACCACAACCUCAACCUCAACGCUUCCUCCUCUUCCGAGCUCAAUGCGUUGCUUCCGCCUGACCGUGACCGAAAUCCUCACCACAUUUCAGGUAGUGAUAAAAACAGGGCAAUUCAGCAUCACAACAGAAAUGCAGAGAUGCCUGCUGUAUCUGUGGAGCCAACAAGCAGCAGCACACUGAUCAAUGGAACAGGGUCUCAAGUGCAGGAGAUUGAUGUCGCGUCAUCCCCUGGGGCGAGGUUAAGCUGUCUCUGAAAUGCAGCGCACACCCAUCAAAGCUCAACAUGCCUGAUCUGGAAGCAGUUUACAAGAUGGUUGAGGACAAAUACCACUGCUCGGACAAGCUUCUUCCUCCUGAUUUCUCCAUUCCUGGCCUCAUGGCCGAGAUAUGCCAGAGUGUCGUGCAGCUGGGCACUCAACAUACUGUGGAGCAUAUUACACAAUCACGUACCGUUGGUAACGGCAGCACGUCUAAAUGCGUGGAGGGUGGUUCAGCGAGUUCAACUACUGCCCCGCAACCGCAUUCGGCACUUUCAAGGACUACCCAUGAUGUACAUGACAUAUCCAAGGGACAAGAAAAUGUCAAGAUACCGAUAGCAAAUGAGUCUGGCAGAGGAAAAUGCCCACCAUCGUUUUCCUACGUACCAGGCAACGAGGUAUUUCAAAAUGGUAUUGUGAACAUCUCCCUUGCACAGAUUGGUGCUGAAGACUGUUGUGCUGAUUGCUUUGGCGACUGCUUGUCUGCGCCUGUACCAUGCGCUUGUGCAAGAGUCACCGGGGGUGAAUAUGCAUACACACCGGGCGGUUUGGUAAAGCCAGAUUUCAUUGACAAGUGUGUCUCCAUGAACCGGGUUCCCGAAGCACAUCACAAGGUCUUUUGCAAGACGUGCCCGCUCGAGAGGUCGAGAGAUAAAGCCUCACCAGAGCCUUGCAGGGGCCACCUUGUUCGGAAAUUCAUCAAGGAGUGCUGGAGCAAAUGCAGGUGCAGCACGCGGUGCGGCAACCGUGUGGUCCAACGCGGCAUAAGAUUCAACCUUGAGGUGUUUUCCACGGGAAAUGGGAGGGGUUGGGGGCUGCGCACGCAGAAUGCAUUGCCAAAAGGAGCUUUUGUGUGCGAAUAUGCGGGGGAAAUACUAACAUGCGCAGAAGUACAGGAGCGGGCGGUCGAGAACAUGAAGAAUGCUAGGUAUACACAUGCGGUAGUGUUGGAUGCUGGCUGGUCUUCGGGAGGGUCGCUGAAGGACGAAGAGGCCUUGUGCCUAGAUGGAACCUUUUAUGGGAAUGUUGGCAGAUUCAUCAACCACAGAUGCCGUGACUCAAAUCUGGCCAUGGUUCCUGUUCAAGUGGAGACUCCUGAUCGGCACUAUUACCAUGUUGCAUUCUUCACUAGCAGGAAGGUGGAGGCCCUAGAGGAACUGACAUGGGACUAUGGGAUUGAUUUCGACGAGGAGUUGGGGCCGGUGAAGGUGUUUGAGUGCCUGUGUGGAAGCAAGUACUGCCGAGGAAGUCAUCGGCAUUGGCAUCGUCAGCGCCUGAGGAAUGGGAAUGGGAAGAAGAGAAGCAGGAUUGAAGGGUGUUGAUGCCAUGCCUGUUAACUCAUUCACCAAGUAAUAGUAGUACUAGUACUAGUAGUAGUAGUAGUAGUAGGCAAUUGACCUGGCUGAAGCAAUGUUGUUGGUGGAACAAUGCUGUCUCUCUUUCUGAUGCUGCUGCUGCUGCUCUGUUCAGUGUAGUGAAAUGAAAAUGAAGCAAAGCAUCCAUGAGAAGAUGAAUGAGGUGGUGUAGUGACCUUGAGGCAAGAGAGUUAGUUAUUAUUCAGUCACCUUGAGGCAAAAGAGAUGAAUGAUUGCUUGCAC
rnacentral:rRNA from 1 species